rnacentral:rRNA from 1 species
AGGACGAACGCUGGCGGCGUGCCUAACACAUGCAAGUCGAGCGAGGAGAUCCUUCGGGAUGAUCCUAGCGGCGGACGGGUGAGUAACACGUGGGCAACCUGCCUCAUAGAGAGGAAUAGCCUUCCGAAAGGGAGAUUAAUACCUCAUAACAUUGCAGUUUCGCAUGGAACAGCAAUUAAAGGAGUAAUCCGCUAUGAGAUGGGGCCCCGCGGCGCAUUAGCUAGUUGGUGAGGUAACGGCUCACCAAGGCGACGAUGCGUAGCCGACCUGAGAGGGUGAUCGGCCACAUUGGGACUGAGACACGGCCCAGACUCCUACGGGAGGCAGCAGUGGGGAAUAUUGCACAAUGGGGGAAACCCUGAUGCAAGCAACGCCGCGUGAGUGAUGACGGCCUUCGGGUUGUAAAGCUCUGUCUUCAGGGACGAUAAUGACGGUACCUGAGGAGGAAGCCACGGCUAACUACGUGCCAGCCGCUGC